UGGCGGACGGGUGAGUAAUGUCUGGGAAACUGCCUGAUGGAGGGGGAUAACUACUGGAAACGGUAGCUAAUACCGCAUAACGUCGCAAGACCAAAGAGGGGGACCUUCGGGCCUCUUGCCAUCGGAUGUGCCCAGAUGGGAUUAGCUUGUAGGUAAGGUAACGGCUUACCUAGGCGACGAUCCCUAGCUGGUCUGAGAGGAUGACCAGCCACACUGGAACUGAGACACGGUCCAG
rnacentral:rRNA from 1 species